GAUCCUGGCUCAGGAUGAACGCUAGCUACAGGCUUAACACAUGCAAGUCGAGGGGCGAGCAUGGUUCUUAGCUCGCUAAGGCCGAUGGCGACCGGCGCACGGGUGAGUAACACGUAUCCAACCUGCCGUCUACUCUUGGACAGCCUUUCUGAAAGGAAGAUUAAUACAAGAUGGCAUCAUGAGUCCGCAUGUUCACAUGAUUAAAGGUAUUCCGGUAGACGAUGGGG
rnacentral:rRNA from 1 species